rnacentral:siRNA from 1 species
GAGGUGAUGUUGAAUGGCUCUAUG